GACAGAGGGGGCAAGCGUUGCUCGGAAUUACUGGGCGUAAAGGGCGCGUAGGCGGGAUGGCAAGUCGGUCGUGAAAUCCCUCGGCUCAACCGAGGAACGUCGAUCGAUACUGCUGUUCUUGAGGAUUGCAGAGGAGACUGGAAUUCCCGGUGUAGCGGUGAAAUGUGUAGAUAUCUGGAGGAACAUCGGUGGCGAAGGCGGCAUCCUGGACCGGUAUUGACGCUGAGGCGCGAAAGCCAGGGGAGCAAACGGG
rnacentral:rRNA from 1 species